GAGAGUUUGAUCCUGGCUCAGGACGAACGCUGGCGGCGUGCCUAAUACAUGCAAGUCGAACGCUUUUUCUUUCACCGGAGCUUGCUCCAUCGGAAGAAAAAGAGUGGCGGACGGGUGAGUAACACGUGGGUAACUUGCCCAUCAGAGGGGGAUAACACUUGGAAACAGGUGCUAAUACCGCAUAACUCCAGUGACCGCAUGGUCAUGGGAUAAAAGACGCUUUCGGGUGUCACUGAUGGAUGGACCCGCGCUGCAUUAGCUAGUUGGUGGGGUAAAGGCUCACCAAGGCCAUGAUGCAUAGCCGACCUGAGAGGGUGAUCGGCCACACUGGGACUGAGACACGGCCCAGACUCCUACGGGAGGCAGCAGUAGGGAAUCUUCGGCAAUGGACGAAAGUCUGGCCGAGCAACGCCGCGUGAGUGAAGAAGGUUUUCGGAUCGUAAAACUCUGUUGUUAGAGAAGAAUCAGCGGGAAAGUAACUGUUCCCGCCCUGACGGUAUCUAACCAGAAAGCCACGGCUAA
rnacentral:rRNA from 1 species